rnacentral:rRNA from 1 species
GAUGAACGCUAGCGGCAGGCUUAACACAUGCAAGUCGAGGGGUAACAGGGAAGAGCUUGCUUUUCCGCUGACGACCGGCGCACGGGUGAGUAACGCGUAUAGAACCUACCUUUUACAGGGGAAUAGCCCAGAGAAAUUUGGAUUAAUGCCCCAUAGUAUUAUUGAAUGGCAUCAUUUAAUAAUUAAACAUUUAUGGGUAAAAGAUGGCUAUGCGUUCUAUUAGCUAGAUGGUAAGGUAACGGCUUACCAUGGCAACGAUAGAUAGGGGUCCUGAGAGGGAGAUCCCCCACACUGGUACUGAGACACGGACCAGACUCCUACGGGAGGCAGCAGUGAGGAAUAUUGGACAAUGGAGGCAACUCUGAUCCAGCCAUGCCGCGUGCAGGAAGACGGUCCUAUGGAUUGUAAACUGCUUUUAUAUAGGAAGAAACCUUUCCACGUGUAGAAAGCUGACGGUACUAUAAGAAUAAGCACCGGCUAACUCCGUGCCAGCAGCCGCGGUAAUACGGAGGGUGCAAGCGUUAUCCGGAAUCAUUGGGUUUAAAGGGUCCGUAGGCGGACUAAUAAGUCAGGGGUGAAAUCCAACAGCUUAACUGUUGAACUGCCUUUGAUACUGUUAGUCUUGAGUUAUAUGGAAGUAGAUAGAAUAUGUAGUGUAGCGGUGAAAUGCUUAGAGAUUAC